UGUAUUUUUCAGGCACAUAGUGAAAUUUUGUAGCAUAAUCAAGUACCUAUGUUACCUUCUUUUGUUAAAAAAAUCCUAUAUCUAUCAAAUUUGAGAGGAGAAAUUUCUCUUUGUAAUUUAACACCUUGAAAUUGGGCCUCUGACUCUUUAAAACCUCCUGCUCUUUCUGAAAUUCUGCCUUCAGGAAGUCAUCACACCAUGGCUGCUCUAUUAAUUCUUUAACAAUUUUUUUUUACCAGUGUUUCACUGAGAAGUAGCUCCGAUAAUGAGCUCAGCAGAUGAGUGUUACACCAGGUGUUGCU